rnacentral:lncRNA from 1 species
AUGGAGCCCUUCAAAGCGCGUCCAUCGAGGGCUUCCUGGGCCAUAGGCGCUCCUACUCAGACCCAAGAGCCACAGCACGCGCCUAGGAACCUGGGCUCCGCCUGGCCUCGCCGGCUCUGUUCUCGGAACAAACAGGAACUGGGCUCAAACCCUGGCCAUCGUGUGACCUUGGCCAUGUCCCGGGCUGCGGGCCUCAGUUUCCUGGUCCUUGCGACCCCGAGACAGGAGGCCUCGGAGGCGGAGCAAGAAGCGUGGCUUCCUGGAGAGCCCGCGUUGCGGGCCGGACUUCCGGGAGCUCGCCCUGGCCACUCUGGGGCUUGGUGGGAGGGUGGCCAGACAGACGCCCUCCCCGGCCCCGACUCAGCCCCCGCCCCAGCUCGGCCCCGACUCGACCCCCAUCCCAGCCUAGACCCCUGGCCCCGCAUUCCGCACCCACCCUACCCCGCCCCGCCUAGGUCCCCAGCCCAGCCUGAAGCCCCAGCCCGGCCUAGUCUCGCCUCAACCCCCGGCCUCUAUUCUACCCUGGGCCCGCCGGGCCUUGGCUCCCCACCUCGACUCCGCCUCGCCUCGGCCCCCGGCCCGGCCUCACCUCGGCUCUCACCUCGACCCUCGCCCGGCCUGGCCUCACCUCAGCCCCUGUCUCGGCCCUCACCGCCCCGGCUCAGCCUCGCGCUGGGCCUCAACUCGGCCCCCGCCCCCGCCUCGGCCCCAGCCCAGCCUCACCCUCGGCGGCCGCGGCGCAGAUGCUGCUCGGAGGCAGGCGUUGGUUUCGCUCCCACAAGAUGGCGGCUCUGACGGCGGCCACGUCAGUGCCUGCUGCCGCGGGGGACGCUGGGGAACGGGGCAGUCCCCCCCGCAGUCCCACCCACUCGCCCUUUGCUGUGCGCACGCGCAGACUCUGUGCGGGAGGUAGGGACAGGACCUUGGGUAGGCGACGCCUCGCUCACCGCUGCGCUUGCGCGCGCCCCCCGCGUCCCCAGCGCGCCUAGCCCAGGCAGAGUCCGGCUGCGCCUGCGUGCGCCUGUCGGUGAUCUGCCCGGGGGUGAGUUCUCAAGCCCAUUUGGCAGAUGCAGAGACUGAGUCCCAGGCGGUCCCUGCGGUCCUGGGGCGGCGGUUCUGGGUGCCAACUCCCCUCUCCAGCCUCAGGGACUGGAGGGACCGCAGGGACACACGCUGUCCUGUGCGCGGUCGUGGAGCGACCUGGAGAAGCAAGAGUCAAGAUCAAAUGGAGAAGGCAUCUAGUAGCACGGGUGGAGCAAGUGCUCCAGGGAACAGUGCUGCCCUGGGGUGCCACCUGAGCGGGAUCCAGGUGACACAGGGGAGCCCUCCUCUGGGAAGCCUCCCUAAGCUGAUCAGAAGGGAGAGGGGCCUACUGUGGUCGCUCUCCACAUUCUCCAGGCUCGGGCCUUACUGUGGCCCCCUGCUUGGGAACUCUCUGUGGCCUGCCGACGUGAGCCCCAUACCAUCACUCCACUCCUGCGCUACUUGAACUCUCUCCUGUACUAUCCUCCAGCUGCUGUGAUGGGAGGCAUAGGUGAGAUUGCUGGGGCAGCCUUCACUCACUAUCUUGCAUGUGGUGGAGAACACGAAGCAGGUCAUCACCUGGGCCUUGGUCUAGGGGUCUGCCUCUUGGUCCAGGGACCUCUCUCCUGUACUCCCCACCUACCCACUCCUCUUGGGGCCUCCUUACAGCGCUGGGGUGGCUGGGACCUCACCAGCUCUCCCUGGGGCUGCCCACUACCCCCCAGGCAGCCCUCCUGCACCAAACACUGAUGACCUCCUCUUCCGAGAGGCUGAGGGCCCUAGAUCUUGGGAGGCAGACGCUUGCUUUGAGCUGCAGCCUCCCCAGCCCUCAUCAUUUAUGGAAGACCUAGCCUGUGCUCCACACCUCAGCUUCUGCCUCCUCAUUGCUGUAAACACAUCACAGUGCUCACUCAACGUGCCCUCAGGGUUUUGUGUCUCCAGAGAGGGGCACAGAACCUUCUGGUGCUACUGGUUCUCUUCCCUAGAGAACUGACCCACAGCUGCUGCUACUGCUAAGUCACUUCAGUCGUGUCCGACUCUGUGCGACCCCAUAGAUGGCAGCCCACCAGGCUCCCCCAUCCCUGGGAUUCUCCAGGCAAGAACACUGGAGUGGGUUGCCAUGUCCUUCUCCAAUGCAUGAAAGUGAAAAGUGAAAGUGAAGUCUUUCAGUCGUGUCCGACUCUUAGCUACCCCAUGGACUGCAGCCUACCAGGCUCCUCCAUCCACGGGAUUUUCCAGGCAAGAGUACUGGAGUGGGGUGCCAUUGCCUUCUCCAGACCCACAGCUGAAUGCCUGCAAAUGAUUGUGUCCUCAGGAGCGUCCUUAAAUAGACAGGAAGGAGCAUGUGCAAGAUACAUACACAGUUUUAAAAAUAAGGUGGAUUGCUAUGUAAACCCGAGGUUACCGAAUUUACCUUCUUCCUAAUUCUUUUCUCCUGGUCUUGGGAAAAGAGGGUGUCUUCAGACCAGACAGGUAUGGGGGCCCAGGGUGGGCACAUCAGGGGAAGAAUCCCUGCCCCAGGCAGGAGAUGUUAGAGAGCCAGGAGGUACUAGGCAAUUGCCUAGGGAAAAUGAGGCCCCAGUGCCCACCAGGACCUCCCUGUCCCCUUUCCAGGGAUGGAAAAGCUGUGUACCUGCCCAGCUUUGGCCAGGAGAGGGCAGAGUGAGCCCGCUAGAGGGCCUGCCAGCAUCCAUGGCCACAGCCAUUUUCAGGUUCAAAGCCCCCAGCCCAGAUCCUCACCUUCAGCUUGAGCUAGAGCGGAAGUCUGGGACUAAGUUUCUCCCCUCUUGGGGGGGUCCCUGAGUCCAAAGACAAGAUCAGACACAGGGAUGCUGAACCCUGGGAAGGGUGGUUAGAGGGACAGAAGUGCCAGAAAGAGCAAAAGAGCCAAGGCAGGAGGGAGAGGGAAUAUGAGUACACCCUCUAAGCCCCCCAGCCUGCUAAGUACCUCAUGCAGCUUCUAUGUGUGGCACCUGUGAAGCGGGCAACAUUUAUGCCAGGCUAGUGGCAGUCAGAGAGGCUGCAAGCCCACCCAAGGUCACACAGUUAAAACUGAGCCCCUGGAUCUCGGAUCUUAGCGUGUUUGCUGCCAGCGUCUCUUCCUCUGUCCCCACCCUGCCUCUGAAGACAUUGGAGCUUCAGUGAAUCUGUAGGUUGCAACAUUAUCUUGGGUUCCUCCAGUGAUGGGGAGCUCAGUACUUACUAAGGCACUCAACACCCAGGACCCAGUUGCAGAACUGUAUCCUCUUAAAAAACUUCUUGGGAUGGUGGGGGGAUUGGGGUGUCUCUGCCUACUUGCCCUCCCCUGGUGAGCUGGCCUCUAAAGAACCCCUGGGCCCAGAGGGGACCCUGAGACAGGUUUCUGUCCCAGAUACGGGUGGGAUGUAGAGAGGGCCCAAUCCUUCCCUCUACUCAGCUCAGAGCCCUUCUUCUCUAGGACCCGCCCCCAAAGCCCUCUCUCCUAUGUGUCUCUCCGGUGCAGGCUUCAGGGAUUAUGCCAGCUGUUCUGGUGGUGUGGGUCCUGGGAUGGCACCUGCAUGCCCUCCAUGCUCAUGCCUGUUUUCCUGCCCCAUCCCCACGCCAUUCUGCCCCUUGUCCUGGGCCUGGGUUGGAGUCUGGGGACAGCUAGGUUAUGUCAGAAGCCUGUGUUUGGCAUGGGGGUGAGCCCACCGAGAGCCGCACAGCGGUCAAGGGUCAGUGGGAGGACCAUGGCCCCGUUCCAUGCCUAUGAGUGGGCUGACUCUGGGGCCUCUCCACCUUGAGACUCUUUGAGCGUACCCACUCCUGCCUCAGUGUCCGCAUAUCAUGCAGGCUCCUCCCUUCCCUGCAUCCUCUCUCUGGCCCAGCUUACAGGAACAGCCCAGGACCAUUCCCUACCCAGGGCUUUUCUCCCUCUUCCUGGUCACUGUCUGGGAAUGUGCAGUUCUUGAACACUCGUCUUGGCUCUCCUGGGCAUGGCAGUGCUGUCUAGAAGGCCAGCUUCACUGGGAAAGAUGCUUCUUACCUGGUUCUUGGUCUCACUUCAUGCCUGGGCAGACGAUAGGUAAGGCGAGUCCAGGGAGUGCUUCUCAGUGAGCUUUGCGCUGGGAUGCCAAAAAGCACGUCUUUUUAGGACCCUCUGACUGACAUUUACCAUCCCCUCCCAGUUUGAAUAUAGGUGACGUUCCCAAAUAGCGGUAUGCACUGGACCUAUGAUGUUGUCAGCAACAGAAACCUCAAGGCAGUUUUAUGUCCUGUCAUGGCCAUUGCAGGAACCAUAAAAUCUUGUUUCUGUCCCCUGCUCCACUGAGAUUACAGUGGUUGUCAGGCUGCAGCUAGCGUUUUCAUCUCUAGCGCUGGCAACGGAGGCUGACGGAAACGACAGCCCUGCAUUCCGCGCCCGCUUCUGCACAACACUUCAGUCCCACGUCUGCCAGCAUUGUGGAGCUGAACGCAGUCAGAAGGGCAUGCUGGAUGUACGCAGUCUGGAAAGUGCUAACUGCACUCGGUACAUUUUGGAAACCAUCAUCCUGGUCGAGAUCAUAGAAACCUGUUGCCCCUGAAGUCACAUGCCACAAAAAUCUUAAAACUUUUGAUAACUGGGUCUGUUUCUGAUGGUGCAUCAUUUAUGCUGCUGCUGCUGCUGCUAAGUCUCUUCAGUUGUGUCCGACUCUGUGCGACCCCAUAGACGGCAGCCCACCAGGCUCCCCCGUCCCUGGGAAAAAUCAUUUAUGUUAGGUAGUAAUAAAACGGUAUUCUGAGAAGAAGCUCAUGGACUUCCCUAGCCUGCUAGGGGGUCCCUGGUGCCUACACAACCUCCCCGCUCUAACUUCUAGAUGAGGUCAGUAGGGGAGGGAGAGAGGCCCCACUUGGGGAUGGCAGGGGACCAGCAGAGAUAUCCGACAUGGAAUUUGAGGGGCAGGAAGACCCCAGUGACUCAGGCACUUUCCGUGGUGGUCACUGCAGUCUGGCUGGAGGCCAGGAAGCCAGCAGGAGGAGAUCAUCGGGACCAGGCUGACCAGGGUGUGGAGCCAUGGCACUCAGCAAGCUGAUGGGGAGGGGAGGGAGGGAGGAGGGGCAUCCCUCAUGGGUCUGGGCACAGAUUGUAUCAUAGACUGUGAGGGGGCCUGCAGCCCUCGUCUCCACCUGGACCAAGCUGUUCUCUUGGGACUCACCCUCAGGUUUGAGAGGGCUGGUGUCUGUUCCUCUCUCUGGGGGGCCCUUCUCCCCCUUUAAACCCCCAGACAGAGAACAGCAGGAGGGAGGGACCCAACCUGUCUUGGGAGGCAUCUGAUGAAUUCAGGGUUUCAAAAACCCUGGGAAAGGGAAAAGAUUGUUGGUCCCUGAAUGGCACCCCACUCCAGUACUCUUGCCGGGAAGGUCGCAUGGAUGGAAGAGCCUGGUGGGCUGCAGUCCACGGAAUCGCUAGGAGUCGGACACGACCGAGAGACUUCACUUUCACUUUUCCCUUUCAUGCAUUGGAGAAGGAAAUGGCAACCCACUCCAGUGCUCUUGCCUGGAGAAUCC